UAAAAAGAGUUAUUAACACUGUUGGGCAGUUUUAUGUUUUUAUUUACAUUGGAAGGCAGUUAAUGCUACUAGGGUAGUUUUUCAUGUGAAAAGUCAUUAUUUCCCCUUGAAAAAAGUAACUCCCCCUUAACUAUUGAGUUUGGCGCUGGUUUGUAGAUUGGUUUGGUUACUGAUUUUGAAAUUCGAAAUUAAAGUAGGGUCCACAUCCUUUUACCCUAGUUUUAUUGUGCGGACCCGAUAAACGUCGUAGAAGUGCGAGGAAGACGAAGGCCACAGUAGACGACGAUGGCGGGAGCAAAUUACGUCGGAGAAACUCAAGGAAAACGACGAACUUGACGGCGACGGAAGCCAACAAACGGCCGAUUGCUGCCCAGAAACAAGCCACAAAGGGUAAGCAAGUAAAAGUGUGGUGUUUUCUUUUUUGGAUCGGUGGAUUCAAGUAAAAGUGUGGUGUUUUCUUUUUCAAUGAAACUGUUAAUUUGCUUUUGUAUAACCUUCUCAAUCGCAUGUAUGGAUUCAAGAGAAUGUUUUGUUAUUUUUUAGGAAUUGAAGGACAUGUAACUUAGUACUAAAGCUGUACACAUACGGUUUCCUAAUAAACAUGACGAUUUACAAUCAAUCAGGAGUGAAUUUAGUCAGUGUGCAUGUGUACCAGUAGUUGAGUAGUCUGCAAGAGUAAAUUUAGUCGGUGUACAUGUGCAUGUGAGCCGGGGCCAGCGAUAUGUGAGACAAUAGGUGUUGUCGAAUUCAGUUGGUGUACAUGUGUACGUACAGAUGGUGUGGCUUUGUGUGCUUAAUAAAACAGCUUAAAUCCCCCGAACGUGUACGUGUGUAUGAGGCAUGAAAGGCUGUACAUGCCGAAGAAGUAGCUUCCUUGCGUUUGGUUGACAUUUAUAGUUGUACACGCACAUAGCAGUACGUGAUGGUGGUGUACACGAUUUAUAGUGGUACACGCAAAAGACUUCGUAACUACUUGUUAGUAAGUUGUACGAGUAGAUGUGUACGAGUAAAUUGGUAGUCUUGACAGGUGAAUACAGUAGGUGUCCAUGUGCAUGGGGACAUUUCUCCUUGAUAUUUGAGACAAUAGACGGAGAGUCCGGUCUGUACAUGUGUACGAGGAGUUGAAUGACCCUGACUGUACACGAGAGAGUAGUAUCCUUGCGUUUGGAAAUGAUCUCGGAGGAGUACAUGACAUUUUUUAAGAAGUGUGAAAGUAGAUGGGAUAUUGGGGAAAUGAGAAACUUAAUUUGUGUACAUGAUUUAUAUGUGUACAUGUGUACAUGGGACUAAUCUCGGAAUAGAUGUACAUGUGCACAUACGUGUUAGUUAGAUGUACAUGACAUACGAGUAGAUGUGUACGAGUAGAUUGGUAGUCUUGACAGGUGAAUACAGUAGGUGUCCAUGUGCAUGGGGACAUUUCCCCUUGAUAUUUGAGACAGUAGACGGAGAGUACGGUCUGUACACGUAUACGAGGAGUUCAAUGACCCUGGCUGUACACGAGAGAGUAGUAUCCUUGCGAGUAGUAUCCUUGCGUUUGGGAAUGAUCUCGGAGGAGUACAUGACAUUUUUUAAGAAGUGUGAAAGUAGAUGGGAUAUUGGGGGAAUGAGAAACUUAAUUUGUGUACAUGAUUUAUAUGUGUACAUGUGUACAUGGGACUGAUCUCCGAAUAGAUGUACAUGUGCACAUACGUGUUAGUUAGAAUGUGGAGAUCUUUUCAUGGGGGUUGUGUGUACGAAGUUUAAAGGUAGUAGAGUGAAAGAUAAUUAAAAUGUGUUGCUUGGAGAUAACAGAAUUAAAGCAAUCAAGCAUCUUCCAAACAGCUAGCAUAAGUUGCAAUCCAAAAAGAAACAAAAGAGCUGUUGAUGGGUGAAGAGUUGUUGAUUUGAGGAGUCAAAAAGAGACCAAAACAGUUACAAUCCAAAAGAGACAAAAGUGGUCGGCCAUGGAGAACGGUGGAUGAAUAAGGUUUCAGCUUUGGGAAUGUGACAGCAAAAUGGAAAACUUAGAAAGAAGGAAGAUGAGAUUGACUUUUGCAUCAACAUGCAAUAUUGGCCAUAGAUGAACAAAUGAGAAAAAUAAAUCCAAGGGCUGAAAAAAGAGACAUAUAUCAGUCUUGUCAAUAAAAAACAUAUUAAAUCUGGGCCGUCUAUGGAGUUUAGAUCAACGACUGAGGACAUCUCCCGUUAAAAACAAAAUUUAGUUAGCAAGUGAGUUAGUUAAGAUAUAACUAGUUAGUUAGGCAAAAAGGAAGCUGUUACUCGAAACUGUGUGAGGAGCAGAAACUGUUUUUUAUGAUAUAAAAAAGACAAAACUGUCUUAUGAUAUAAAAAUAUGACGACAUGAUUGCAUAAUGUCAUGAGUAUUUUACACUCAAAGGCAGUUUAUGAGUUUUUAUAACACAAAUAGGCAGUUUCUGCUACUUGGACAGUUUAUGAGUGAAAAGACUUAAAUUGCCCUUAAAUAAAGCGUAACCAUAAAUUGUCAUUUAGUUAGACUGUUGUGAUUUUAGUUGGAUUUUGAAAUUUAAAAAAUAUGUGGUGGACCCGACGAGAGAUAAACCUUACUUUGAUAAUUAUCGGAUGUGUAGAUUUUAUUUUUUAUACUUUUUGAAACUUUUGCCGAGGAAAAAAAAAAAGAAAAAGUGAAAAGUUUGAUAAGGAGCCAGAUCCAACGGCGAUUUCCGGUGAGAGAUAGGCCGAAACAAGCAGAUGACUAUUAUGUGGAAAAGAAAUAGAAAGAUGUCGACGAGACGGAGCCGGAAGGGAAAGAGAAAGCGGAUGGUGAGGUUUUAGCUGUUGUUGGUAUGUCGGUGGAUCUACAAUCGAGAAAGCAAUUAACUCUUUUUUUUAAUUGUGUACCUGAGUUUUCAGUAAACAAUUGUGCUAGAAGGUCGCGGCAAGACCCAUAUGCUUCCAUGUUAUUGGCCUAGGAUUACAGACCAUAAGCUGCAAUUAUAUCUGGACAGUAUCUGGAUUUGUAUGUUAACAACAUUGUCUUUCUAGUUUCUUAUGUUUUUGCAGUAUCAUUCUAUGCUAAGGAGUCUUUAAUUGUUUAUUCUCUAAGCUCAGAUUCUAAAAUACUAGCACUCUUUGAAGAAUUGAGAAGGUCACUUUGAGAAGUGUGGUUUUUUUUUCUUUUUCUUGUUGUUUUCUUUUAGUUUUUUGUUGUUUUAAUUCAAAAGUCAGAUGCAACUUAUUGGAAAGAAUCAUUUUGUACACAUGGACACUAUGAGUACAAAAUGUACACAUGGACACUAUGAAGAAAAUGUACACAUGGACAUCCUAUUGAACGUUGUUGUAGAAAAUUUGCAAAGGAGUCUUGUUUAGAUGGUUAAGAUACUGUUAACUAUUGCCGGUCCAAGAAUUCACUAAUGCCAUGAUCCCUGUGAAUGUAACAAUCAUUUUGAAACGAGUCAUCUCAAACUUUGAACUUCCCAUGCAAUUAAAAAUUUUAAAAAAGAAGAAGCUAAAUGACAUUUUGUUGAACACCACAAAAAACAGAAAAUUGACCAUGGAGUGUCCACUUGUAACUGUUUCUGAAUCGAACAACAAUGUACACUGAAAAGACAAUAUAUUAAAAUUACGUGUACACAUGUACAAUAGUUUUGAUGUACACAUUGAUCAGUAACACUUGGCGGGUUGUCUACAAGAGCUGGUCUAUAGACUCGGAUGAUUCUCAAUAUUCCCAUCAACAGACCAUAAAGAGAUAUGAAUCUUCUCUUCUACAUGUUCAUGUGGAGUUAAUAUGUAUUUAUUUAGUCUUUUAAUCUUCUGGAUUUUGCUUGUAUCUAGUACUUUUCUAAUACGGUUCUUAUUGAUAAUAAUGGUGGACCUGAGUUUUCAGCAAACAAUUGUGCCUAACAUUGAGUUUUUGUUUUCCUAUAGUCCCAUUGAUGUAGUAUACGAUUAUUAUCAAUUUGAAUGCUAAGAAUUAAGAAUAUACAUGUGAAAUGAGUUUUGUGUUAUUCAACAUACGUUUUAAGACAAGUUCGAAUUCAAAAAUGCAUCAGCGUUCUAUUUAGAAAGCGUACAAGUGAACCAAAGUCAUGCGGAUACCUAUAGAUGUACACAUGUACAAUAUGAGGAAAAAAAUGUAGACAUGUACACUAUCAGGCAAAUGUACACAUGGACAUCCUACUAAACGUUUUUGUAGAAACUUUACAAAUGAGUCUUGUUUAGAUGGUUGUCAAUCUAAUGAUGUAAUAUACGAUUAUUAUCAAUCUGAAUGCUGAGAAUCAAGAAUAUACAUGUGAAAUGAGUUUUAUGUUAUUCAACAUACGUUCGAAGACUAGUCUGAACUCAAUGAUGCAUCCGUCAACUGGUUAGAAAGCGUACAUGUGAGCUAAAGUCACGGUUUUUUUGUAAGAGUAAUGUUUACAGACUACUUUGAUAAAAUCAACGUGUACACUUAAUUUUAACUGGCAGAUGUACAUUAAUCCACAAAAGCUUAGUGUACAUCGUUUUACUUGUACACCAAAAAAAACUUGAACAUACAUUGACAUAAGUUAAAACAGAGGCCUAGAAUCAGCGGAGAGAUGGAGGAGAUGAAGGCGGUGAGACAGAGGCGAUAAAGGCGGCGACGAGAUGGAGACGAGACGAAGGCGGUGAAACGAGACAAGGACGAGACGAAGGCAGGGAUUUCAGCUGAGGGUUGGAUCCGAAACAGAAAGCUGUAUUAUUGAUGACUGAUGUAGAGUUUUCAUGAAUUUACUCUUGAAUUUACAGAAGAACCGUGAAAAAUACAAAGGAGGUUGAUGAAUGUGACUUUAUCCAAAAUAAAGAAUCUAGGCCGUUGAUUUAAAGAGUACAAAAGAAAAUCUAAUGGUUAGGAUAUGAGACAGAUACAAAUCUUGUCAAAGAUUUCAAAAUUAAUCUGAACCGUUGAGAUGGCAGAAAGAUGUGGGGUGGAGGUUUAUUCCCGCUAAAACAAUGGUUAGGUUAGUCGGUGGGUUGGUUACAAAAUAACUAGGUUAUUUAAGUAAAAAGGAAGCUGUUAGGAUAAACUGCCUUGGUAGCAGAAAGUAUCUUUUUGUGUUAUAAAAAACUCAAAAUUGCCUUUGAGUGUAAUUAUCUUAUCAUGAGUUUGCAACGCAUCGAUACAACUCACAAGAGUUCCACAUAAAUUUCUUUUUACAAAUAUAUGUAGAGUUAUUAACACUGCAGGGCAGUUUGUGAGUUUCUUUUACACAUCAGGACAGUUAUUGCUACUGGGACACUUUAUGGUGUGAAAAGUCAUGUUUUACCCUUGUAAAAGGUAACUGGCUUUUUAUCUGGUUUGGAUCGUAGCUUUUCAAAAUUUUUAUGGUUACCAUUUCAAAAUUCAAAAAACAUGGUGGGGCCUAGAAAGAGAUAAGACUAAUUUUUCUACCGAAAAAGGUGAGUAAUAUUCUUUUCAUUUCUUUUACCGAGGGAGGUUUUGAAAAAGUGAAAAGGCGACGGAAACAAGAUUUGCGACGGAGGAGAUGUCGGUACGACGGAACAAGCGUGGGAAAGAUAACACCGAAGGUUAGUUUACUCCGCGAUUUGCUUGUACUUUUUUUUAUUACUGGGAUUAUGGUAUUAACCCAAGGGGGGUUGUGGCUGCGUAACUUUUUGCAACGCAGCGGCGGGGGAGGUUGAGGAUGUUCGGGAAAAGUUUUCGGAAAGAUUGUUUGCUACCGACCGAUUCUCAAGCGAGAGGGUGAAUAUGUAUUCCACCGUAGAUAGACUAUUAUGGGUUAGGGAUGUGCUAGAUGGAACCCCGGAGAUGUCGACGUUGUUGGAAUCUUGUUGGGAUCUUGUUUUAGAGGUCUAUUUCUGUGUACUAAUAUGUGGUGUAUAUGAGUAAAUGAUGUGUACGAUAAACGUAUACAAAAUAUCUAAUGUACCCCAUUUAAUCAUGUACAACAUAUUUUAAUAUUUACAUUAUACGUACACAUCAACAUGUACACUAAAUGUACACGAAGCCAUCUCAUAUUUUAUGCACAUG